CGGACGGGUGAGUAACGCGUGGAAAACCUGCCGUAUACUGGGGGAUAACACUUAGAAAUAGGUGCUAAUACCGCAUAAGCGCACAGCUUCGCAUGAAGCGGUGUGAAAAACUCUGGUGGUAUACGAUGGAUCCGCGUCUGAUUAGCCAGUUGGCGGGGUAACGGCCCACCAAAGCGACGAUCAGUAGCCGGCCUGAGAGGGUGAACGGCCACAUUGGGACUGAGACACGGCCCAGACUCCUACGGAAGGCAGCAG
rnacentral:rRNA from 1 species